rnacentral:rRNA from 1 species
UACGAAGGGUGCAAGCGUUACUCGGAAUUACUGGGCGUAAAGCGUGCGUAGGUGGUUUGUUAAGUCUGUUGUGAAAGCCCCCGGGCUCAACCUGGGAAUGGCAAUGGAUACUGGCAGGCUAGAGUGCGGUAGAGGGUAGUGGAAUUCCCGGUGUAGCGGUGAAAUGCGUAGAGAUCGGGAGGAACACCAGUGGCGAAGGCGGCCAACUGGACAGAUACUGACGCUGAGACUCGAAAGCGUGGGGAGCAAACAGG